rnacentral:rRNA from 1 species
UACGUAGGGUGCAAGCGUUAAUCGGAAUUACUGGGCGUAAAGCGUGCGCAGGCGGUUAUGUAAGACAGGUGUGAAAUCCCAGGGCUUAACCUUGGAACUGCAUUUGUGACUGCAUAGCUAGAGUACAGUAGAGGGGGAUGGAAUUCCGCGUGUAGCAGUGAAAUGCGUAGAUAUGCGGAGGAACACCGAUGGCGAAGGCAAUCCCCUGGACCUGUACUGACGCUCAUGCACGAAAGCGUGGGGAGCAAACAGG